rnacentral:rRNA from 1 species
CCUACGGGGGGCAGCAGUGGGGGAUAUUGCACAAUGGGGGGAACCCUGAUGCAGCGACGCCGCGUGGGUGAAGGAGCGUUUCGGCGCGUAAAGCCCUAUCGGCAGGGAAGAAGAUGACGGUACCUGGCCAAGAAGCCCCGGCUAACUACGUGCCAGCAGCCGCGGUAAUACGUAGGGGGCAAGCGUUAUCCGGAUUUACUGGGUGUAAAGGGGGCGCAGACGGCAAUGCAAGCCAGGAGUGAAAGCCCGGGGCCCAACCCCGGGACUGCUCUUGGAACUGCAUGGCUGGAGUACAGGAGGGGGAGGCGGAAUUCCUAGUGUAGCGGUGAAAUGCGUAGAUAUUAGGAGGAACACCGGUGGCGAAGGCGGCCUGCUGGACUGUGACUGACGUUGAGGGCCGAAGGCGUGGGGAGCAAACAGGAUUAGAUACCCUAGUAGUC